rnacentral:misc_RNA from 1 species
GAUGAAGAACGCAGCGAAAUGCGAUAAGUAAUGUGAAUUGCAGAAUUCAGUGAAUCAUCGAAUCUUUGAACGCACAUUGCGCCCGCUAGUAUUCUGGCGGGCAUGCCUGUUCGAGCGUCAUUUCAACCAUCAAGCCCUGCUUGUGUUGGGGUCCUGCGGCUACCCGCAGGCCCUGAAAACCAGUGGCGGGCUCGCUAGUCACACCGAGCGCAGUAGCACAUCUCGCUCAGGGCGUGCGGCGGGUUCUUGCCGUAAAACACCCCCUUUUUACCAAGGUUGACCUCGGAUCAGGUAGGAAUACCCGCUGAACUUAAGCAUAUCAAUAAGCGGAGGA